UACGAAGGGGGCUAGCGUUGUUCGGAAUUACUGGGCGUAAAGCGCACGUAGGCGGAUAUUUAAGUCAGGGGUGAAAUCCCGGGGCUCAACCCCGGAACUGCCUUUGAUACUGGGUAUCUAGAGUCCAGAAGAGGUGAGUGGAAUUCCGAGUGUAGAGGUGAAAUUCGUAGAUAUUCGGAGGUACACCAGUGGCGAAGGCGGCUCACUGGUCUGGUACUG
rnacentral:rRNA from 1 species